rnacentral:lncRNA from 1 species
AGGUGCCUGAGGGUAAAUUCGAGACGAAAGUCGAGUGGGGUGUUCCUCUGAAUACAAUUGGUCAUCUUUUUCCUCUCUCACCGGCCGUCUUUUCUUCCAGCCGACGAUUGGUCAUAUCUGGAGAUCUUUUCUUUGGGCAGAGUGAGAUUUCAACAACAAGAUUCAUCGUCUGAGAUUCGAGGCACCACUACGCCAGAGUGAGGCCGUCAACCACGAG